GGAAGAAGGUGCAGAGCAAUCAGAAAAUCUGCACACGAAGAAGAUGAAGCCAGCACUUUCAUUCGGAAGUUCGGAGCAGGCCCUUCUUUGCACCUGCCAUCUCUGUGCAGACAGGAAAGAAGAAGACACAGAAAGAGUUAACGAGACAUGUUGGAUGUAGAAAAUGACUGCUCCCAAAAGAGAUGGUUUGGUCCUGUGAAGAGGUACCUGUGGUCUGCCUGGUGCUGUGCCCGGGAAGGCCAGUGCUGGUCAGGAGUGAGGACAUCUCGAGGGGAACGGAGCCUGGCAAGGGCAGCCCUGCAAUGCCCCAGGCAAGGCUUUCGAGGGAUUCUGUGGGAUCAGCCUUUCCUUGUGCACGUUUUGUGUCAGACACACGGUUCCCAGGUGUGUCACGAGCCACUGUGCCGUGGAAAAGCCUGUAGGAGUGACUUGUAAUUGAGAGCUUAAACAGCAGGAUGGGGAACGGCUUCUGGACCCACAGCUACCUAAUUACCAUAAUGAAGCACUAACCCUUCUUUCCCAGGACAGAAGACGAUAUUUUAGUCAAAGAGUUUUUCAGUAAAACACGCAACAAAUAAAACGGAGUCCCCACGGCGCCCAUUG